rfam:Salmo salar isolate Sally breed double haploid chromosome ssa11, whole genome shotgun sequence.
UGUAUGCCUGACUGUAAGUCACUUUAGAUAAAAGUGUCUACUAAAUGGCAUGUA